rnacentral:rRNA from 1 species
AGUCGAGCGAACAGACGAGGAGCUUGCUCCUCUGACGUUAGCGGCGGACGGGUGAGUAACACGUGGAUAACCUACCUAUAAGACUGGGAUAACUUCGGGAAACCGGAGCUAAUACCGGAUAAUAUAUUGAACCGCAUGGUUCAAUAGUGAAAGACGGUUUUGCUGUCACUUAUAGAUGGAUCCGCGCCGCAUUAGCUAGUUGGUAAGGUAACGGCUUACCAAGGCAACGAUGCGUAGCCGACCUGAGAGGGUGAUCGGCCACACUGGAACUGAGACACGGUCCAGACUCCUACGGGAGGCAGCAGUAGGGAAUCUUCCGCAAUGGGCGAAAGCCUGACGGAGCAACGCCGCGUGAGUGAUGAAGGUCUUCGGAUCGUAAAACUCUGUUAUUAGGGAAGAACAAAUGUGUAAGUAACUAUGCACGUCUUGACGGUACCUAAUCAGAAAGCCACGGCUAACUACGUGCCAGCAGCCGCGGUAAUACGUAGGUGGCAAGCGUUAUCCGGAAUUAUUGGGCGUAAAGCGCGCGUAGGCGGUUUUUUAAGUCUGAUGUGAAAGCCCACGGCUCAACCGUGGAGGGUCAUUGGAAACUGGAAAACUUGAGUGCAGAAGAGGAAAGUGGAAUUCCAUGUGUAGCGGUGAAAUGCGCAGAGAUAUGGAGGAACACCAGUGGCGAAGGCGACUUUCUGGUCUGUAACUGACGCUGAUGUGCGAAAGCGUGGGGAUCAAACAGGAUUAGAUACCCCGGUAGUCCA